rnacentral:lncRNA from 1 species
ACUAUCCUGUGGAUUUUUUUCUAGUCACAUUUUCAACUGAAUAAUAUUUAGAUGUACUUAUUCAGGACACCUUUUAUAAAAGGUGAAAUUUGGUGGCAUUUGCUUUCCUAUUUCUAACCUUUUCCUGAGUAGGUGUUAUUUUAACCAUUUAGCAUAAGGUAAAUAGCUGUUUUGACAAAAAUAACUUCAGUAAAGUGAAUUUUAUCCUGUUGCAUCUGAAAUGUUUUAUAAUUUAAAGCACGAUGCACAGACUGCUUUUACCAAAUGAGCCGCAAAUGUAACAAAAAGACAUUUUUCUCUCUCCCAUCCCUCAUCGUGAUGGGAUUUUUUUUCCUAAUAAUAUGGGAGUAGGAAGUGGUAUUGAGAAUUAUUAUCAACUAUGGCUAUUGCCGUCACUCUUAGAAACAUCUUUACGUUCUUUAUUACUCUGGACUUAGCUCUCUUUUCAGAAAGAGUCUGCAGCAGCAUAGGAAAUGUUAAGUUACCUUCAGUGUCCACAAGCAAAUGUACCUUCUGCUAGGAUCUUGCCCUGAGCUUGCCAGCCAAAACAUUUAUUGCCUUGUGUAGCUGCAGUGUCAUUAAAAUGACCUGGCCUUUCUGCAGUUUACCAGUUAGAGAAAGAGAAGGAAAAAUGCUGGAAAUUCUACAUAGAAUGUAAAAUAACAUAAACCAGAAAAAAAAGGGGGGGGGGGAGAGGGAAUAAGAAAAGAAAUGAAGCAGCAUUCUGCACUUGAAUCAACCUCCUAUUUCAUUUCAUCUUCUCUUACUUGCUUCUGAAAAGCGGACAAAACCAAAGCGUCUUCGCUUUAGGGUCUUCUCAGCAUUCUCCAGGGCAUGAAGGCAUAUGGGCAUUUUGGAUUCCUGAGCCCACAGCCUGAACAAUUUCUAAGUAUGUCCUACAGUAGGCUCUGAAAUUGGAGGUAUCCCUUAUCUGAGCUCUUGCGUUUCUGAGACUCGGAACACCCUGUGCGUGUCCAUUAUUUAUGAAUGAAUGGGGCACAAGGUACACUGGAGUCCAGAUUUUACUUUGUGAAUGAUGGAGGCACCCAGGAAGGCUUUACAGGAGAUGGUACAGUAGUUUUGAACAAAGAAAUGAGAAAUAUUAUUGGAUAAUAGUGUUUUAAAUCCAGAACAAUUAGGUGCAUUUAACUUUAUCAUUGUUCUCUAAGAGGCUGGUGGAAGCUGUCCUUUCUCAUACAGCAAUCAGUCUUUUCACAGUGUGGCCCGUUGUUAAUAGCCUUAAAACAAGAUUAAAUAAAACAUGUUAAAUAUUGCAAUUAUUGUGGGAAAUAAAAUUAUUUGGUGAGCAUAAUAGGGAGCAAUUCAAGCAUUUAACAUGAUCCAGGAAAUGCUACUCCAAACAAUUGCAUUUGCUUUAUGCAUUUUUCCCCUUUGAUUGCUGACAGAUGCCUUUUUGGAAACAAACAUCUAAAUGGUUUGCUUUCAGUCAGAAAAAAAAUAUAACAGAAAGUGGCUACAUGUUUUGAAUUUAACUCUUGUCAUUUGAAUACUUCUUUCCACGGCACGUGAAUGAAUCUGAGGCAAAAAAGGGACCGUCAUCAAGAAAUAGCCCCAUCAGGAUUUGGACUUUCUUCCUUCCCUUGAGCAGGUUUUAUAAGAAGUGGGAAUCCUCUGGCUCCGAAGUCAAGUGGUAGGUUAAACCGCUGGGCAUUCCGCGCGGCAUGAGGAAUACGGCCUGGUGACUGGGGGAGCAUUGGAGAGGGAAUCGUUUUCUCCUAGCAUGAAACCUCUGGCAAAGAGCAAAUCACUCUCCGGACUCCUGGCUCUUGUGGCCAACGCGCCCCAAAUCGCUACCUCCUUCUGAUGAAUGGGAAGAACCCCGGACUGCUGAGGGGUGGGGGAGUCCCAUCUGUAUCUGCUACAGUGCACUUGGAUAAAGGCCCCAAAGCCUCCGCUGCCGACAGGUGUACAGUGCUAAGGAGGGGCUUGCGUUUGUCAGAUGCUGCUAAAAGGCAACAUGAAAUGGAAUAUUAAUGAUUUUCAGAGGCUGGACAGUAAGUAGAGUGGUUGAGAACACUGUUUCUGAAGUUCAAUUGUCCUUAUCCUGGCUUGGCUGGUUACUAACUGUGUGACCACUCCCAAAUCACUUAACCUCUCUGAUUCUCUGUGUCCUAAAUAGGAAACUGAAGAUAAUUUGUUAGUUAAGUAGAUAGAUGGAUAGAUAGUUACUUAGCAAAAAUAUGCAUAAAUUCAACAGUUCCUCAUAUGUUAUGAGUGCUCAAGCAAUGUUACUAUUUUGUUAUUGAUGUUUUGUUAUUAUUAUUCAUCUGUUGAGCUAAAUCCCCUCCUUUUUUCCUUCUGAUCCUGCCUGGUGAGGCUGGGUUAGGUCCCUUCUCUUUGAUCUGAGGAUCUAACAACAGCCUAAUAAAUCUAAUAGUCUUUUAAUUAUCUGUACCUUGCCCUGUUGCAGCUCUUAGCACCCUGUAUGCAAUUCAUGUUUUUUCUUCUUUUUUCAAGCUUUGUUUCUAGAGCCACUGGAAAAUUGAAACUCUAGAAGAGUAACCUGAUUUUCAACGCAUCAUAUAAUGACAACUGACAUGUAUUGAGUACUUUCCUUUAGAGCCAGGUGCUGUUCUGAGAUCUUUUUUAUUUUCAGAGAGGUCCUCAUGGUGUAGGAUCUAUCAUUAACCCCAUUUACAAAUUAAAAAACAACAACAACCCAGGCUCCAAGAGUUGAAGCAAUUUGUUUAGGGUCCUGGAGUUAGAGAUGGAAGGAUUUAGGAAUUAUGACUUUGGAGUUUCACCACUCUGGUGUUGCCUCUCAAACUAUGAAAGCGGAAAUAACAGAACUUAGCACCUGCUAUGUGCCAGGUACUUUUUAAGGUGACUUUGGGUAUGAUAAGUCACUUAACCUUCACAAAAAUCCCAGAAGUUCGUAUUAUUAUUUUGAAUUUGCAGAUCAGGGUCAAAAAGUAAGAGUCUUGCCUACUGACACCUACUCAGCAGGGAGAGCAAAGAUUCAACCCUAUGUCUAUUUGCCUAAAAGAUUUUUCCUACUCUAAUAAGGUAGCUCUCAGAAGACUUUAAAAAAUUUCUUUCGUAGAGUUGGAUGCUAGGCUUAACAAAUGUUUAUGGCUUUGGAUAUCUAGGCUGUUGGAAAUCAUGAAAUUGGAAAUGUAUACUUUUGCUGACACUGUAGAGAAGUUUAGUUUAGGGCAAGGGGUAUUUAAGACCUCUUUUUAAAAGCCUGUAUUGAAGAAGGAUUAUCUACUAUUAAUACCUAGGUCUUUUUUCUAACCUUAAUCAGGUGGAAAAUCCUAAAAUGGUGUUCAGGACAUCAGUGUCUAACCCUGAAAAUGAAUGUGGACUCACACGGAAGCUUUGGAAUAAGAGGAAGAAUCUACACAAAAGGAUAGAUAGUCUAAUUCCUCCAGAGCCCAGAAAAAUGCCAAGGUCUUCGGUGGCAGAUUUAUCCCUACUUGAUGAAAAGUAUCGAAGUCUUCUGAACAGAUAAGCCUCAAGUGGCUUAAUGAGAACUCGAAGAACAUCAAGUUGGGAACUGGGAGAUGUGGAUUCUAGCCAGGAAUGCCACUAACUCACCGCAUACUCUGGGUUUUUCUGGAGGUUCCACUGAGAUAUUGUCUUUGCUGUCCAUCACAUGGAUGCCAGCCUUGAGCAGAUGUGAUACCACAGAGGCCCCUUGUGCCUUGCUGUCCAUAGCUUGUAGACUCAGUGCCAAUGUGGUAAGUGAACAAACAUUGGAUCUGAACUCCAUACCCUUGUGUUGAGGUUCUUGGCUGUCUCUCUCAGUUUAGUAAGUGGCAUUUGUUAUUAGUUCUCAUCUGUUUAGCAUCCUUGGUGGAUUCAGGCCAUUCCUUUUUAUUCCUUUGGUCUCUUUUGUGCUCUUACAUAGGCUUUGUAGGCCUGUUGUUUGUGCCACCCCAUAGACUGGUGAAUUUGAGGUUCUCACCAGACCAGCAUCCAUACAAACAUUGCUGUGGGUCACCAAUAGGUAAAGUUCUCCUUCCAUCUAAAUAUUUGUCCUAAGAGCUCAGCUUUGAUCCAGAGAGACUGUUUUCUCGUUUUCUCACUUCUGGGGUGUGCUGUCUGUUUUUGGAGGCUUCCAACUGUCAGAUUGGGGCCCUGAGACAUAAAAUGCACAAGCAUCAAUUUCAACUGACAGUUGCCAGCCCUCAUGGGAUUGUUUAAGUAUAAAUCCUUUCCAGGUCUUGGGAAAAACUCCUGUCUUAUCUGUACUCGUUAGAAUCCUAAUUUUUUUCAAUUAUCUCUCUACAUGAUAUAACUUCACCAAAGAUGAUUUAGGCUUUCAGUGGCUACUCUGGGGAAUGUUUGAACUUGAACAAAAUUAUUCAUUUGAGAGAUGCCUUGGAAGAUAAAAGGAAUUAAUAUUUCUCAGGCCCAAUGGUAGCAUUUUUUGUUUUUUUGUUUUUUUUUUGUUUGUUUUUGUUUUUGAUUGAUACACAGAAGCCUUCAAAGAAAAUUCUGAUUAAAAGAAUUGCUUUAUUAAAUGAUGUUUUGGCCAAAGCUAAUGAGUCAUUAAGUAAUGAGUCAAACUUAAGUAACAGCAUACUAUACUUGCUUUCUCUAGUGAAUCAUUUCCUUCCUUGUCCUCCGGUUGCCUUCCUACAUCCAGUUCUCUUUCCUAUUCUUCAGAUCUAUCUGGUUCUAUACCCCUGUUUACUCUUCUCACCUUUACACCUUGACAGGAUGCCCCUACCUUUUCCCAAAGGCCUUAUUGAAGACCUCAAAAUGUCAGUUGCCUCUAAACAUCCUUCUUGCCUAUGAAUCAGAUAUACUGGCUACAGUAGAAUUGAAACCAUAAAUCCAAGCUGAUUAAGAACUAUAAGGAUUUCCCUGAACCCACACAUAACCAGCAACUAUUCUUAGAAGGAUUUAAGAAUUUAAUUAGUUAAUUAAUUUAAAAAAAGAUUUUAUUUAUGAGAGAAAGAGAGAGAGGCAGAGACACAGGCAGAGGAAGAUGCAGGCUCCGUGCAGAGAGCCCGACGUGGGACUCAAUCCCGGGACUUCAGGAUCAUGCCCUGGGCCGAAGGCAGGCACUAAACCACUGAGCCACUCAGGGAUCCCUGAGAAUUUAAUUUAAUUUAGAAUCAUUUUGGGUGUAUAGCACCCAGCGUUGCAUGACCUAUAUCAACUUUUACACAAGUUGGUUGGAACCUGAGAUGGCAAAAAGACUUGAACUGCCCCAGGAAGGAACCUAUAGGAUCUCUCUUUCCACAGUAAGCCUGAGGAUCAAAGAAAGCCCCCAAAAGUAGGGUAAGGUCUCCUGAAAGUUGUUCCUUAAACAUUUCCAUUAAAAUUAAAUGGAUCAUAAUUUGAUCAUGCAAGUAGCAAAAAGAAGAAUUUUUUUUUUUUUUAGAAAAGAGGAAAUUAUAGGAGAUUUUGGGAUAGACGAGAAAAUAAUUUCUGACAUCUAUCAAUUAAAGCACCAAUAUAACAGCAGCCCUUUUAUUGAAGACUUACUAAGAAAACAAAUUAGAAGGGAAAUAGCCCUUUCUUACUGAAUGACAACACCUGAUAGAACAGUUUGAAAGUGCUCUAUACAGAGAUGAACCAGGACCUCAAAUAAACAUAUAGUCCUACAGAGCAAUCAGUUGGGUGGCCCACUUCCUAACAGAUAACCUAUUGGCAAGAAUACCUGUAGAAAUUCUUAACAGAGGGAACAAUGGAAAAUAAGUUAUCCCAUCUCGGAGAAGAAAAACCAAGAAAAAGAAAAGUCUCUCAAUUCAGAUCAAUGAGAUUGCUCCAGAGAAUGAAAAAGUGCCCAGUAUUCCACCUAGACUAGUCUUAAACAUGCAAGGUAAAUUCAUUAUGAAUAUAAGUAGUCAGCCUGUCCUAUUUCUGGUAGAUAAGCAUGCUAUUCUUUUUCUGUUAAAGUCUGCCGCCUUUGAUCAACCUCUUCCUUGCAUUAAACAUAUCACACAGAUAAUAGGUUUUUCAAGUAACUCACAGCUUCCUUAUCUCCUGGCCUUUGACUAUACCCUGCUCUAUGAUAUUGUCCUUGUAAGUUUAAUAAGAAGAGACUUACUUUGCAAACGGAAUUGCAAUUAGCAUAUGAGAGGGAUAAUUUCUUGAGGUUCUAGAGGUCUCCUCUAUUUAUAAUCAAGUUGUGUCUGCUUUGGAUAUACUUUUGCCUUCUCCAUUAUAAUUGAUAUAUAUCUCAGAGAUCUUGACAAUUGAUGAAUUAAAACAUUAACUGACAUAGAAAAGAUAAUUGGUGCAGAACCUAUUAAAGUUCAGAUAGAUCCUACCAAACUUUUCCAAUAUCCCUUGAAGCCAGGGUAGGGAAGGACUCAAACCUAUAGUUUAUGACUUUUUAUCCAAAUAUAUUCUUAUAGCCUAAACUAUGUCUUGUAAUGUUUCUAUCUUUCCAGUAAAUAAACCAAAUGGAUGAAGAGAGUGAUUUUUAAGAUCUCAGGGCUAUCAACA